ACGUAGGUGGCAAGCGUUAUCCGGAAUUACUGGGUGUAAAGGGCGUGUAGGCGGGAAGAUAAGUCAGAUGUGAAAUACCCAAGCUUAACUUGGGUCCUGCACCUGAAACUAUUUUUCUUGAGUGCUGGAGAGGAAAGCGGAAUUCCUAGUGUGGCGGUGAAAUGCGUAGAUAUUAGGAGGAACACCAGUGGCGAAGGCGGCUUUCUGGACAGUAACUGACGCUGAGGCGCGAAAGCGUGGGGAGCAAACAG
rnacentral:rRNA from 1 species